GUCUUCUGCAGUGGCUGCCGGCCUG
rnacentral:miRNA from 1 species